CCUACGGGGGGCUGCAGUGGGGAAUAUUGGACAAUGGGGGCAACCCUGAUCCAGCAAUGCCGCGUGUGUGAAGAAGGCCUGCGGGUUGUAAAGCACUUUCAGUAUGGAAGAAAAGCUCGGAGUUAAUACCUCCGGGUCUUGACGUUACCUAAAGAAGAAGCACCGGCUAACUCCGUGCCAGCAGCCGCGGUAAUACGGAGGGUGCAAGCGUUAAUCGGAAUUACGCAGGGGAUAACGCACGUCGGCUGUCAAAGCCCUGGGCUGAACCUGGGAACUGCAUUCGAUACUGUCUGGCUAGAGUAUGGGAGAGGGAAGCGGAAUUUCCGGUGUAGCGGUGAAAUGCGUAGAUAUCGGAAGGAACAUCAAUGGCGAAGGCAGCUUCCUGGCCCAAUACUGACGCUCAGGUGCGAAAGCGUGGGGAUCAAACAGGAUUAGAUACCCUGGUAGUC
rnacentral:rRNA from 1 species